GCGAUAGUAGUUCAUUUGGUAGAACAUAACCUUGCCAAGGUUAAGGUAACGGGUUCAAUUCCCGUCUAUCGCU
rnacentral:tRNA from 1 species